rnacentral:siRNA from 1 species
UGAGAUUUCGCAGCCUGGUUUGGA